AUGAGGACAGCAGGGGACCAGGCAGAUGGCCAAGACGACAGUGAGGAGAGCAGAGCCCACAGCCGGCUGCGGUGGACAGUCUGCCGCAGAGGGCAGGCAGACGCAGGGGUCAGCUCAGGGGUCAGCUCUGAGCCCCCGGGGUGCUCCCAGAGGCCUUCCUUCCGGAUUAGUGCCACUGUCCUUCAGGCUGAGCAAAAUGGAUCGUUUCAGUGUCACUCCCCAGUCAGUCAAUUCCCAUCAGGAUCUGGAGGUGCCGAGGAGGCGGGCCGUCAGCCGGGACUCACUUUGCAGCACAUAAUGCCCAGGUCCUGCGAGGAAGGAGUGGGAAGGAGCAGGAAAUUGGACUUAAGUCGCCUCCAGAUCAACACAGAGUUCAAUCCUGCACAUUUUAAGCAUUUAUGGCACCAGCAGUGACAAAAGAAAGGAAGAUGUAUUCUGAACAAGACCAAGAAAAACGAAGGGUGAAGGAGAAGAAGCAGUGCUCUUUCAUUGCAUGAUACAAGAGAAUAAGCACCACAUUGCUAAAACCUGCUGUAUCACAUGCACACACACAAAAUCUCCAUAUUAGGGCACAGACUUAAUAUUUCUGAAACCACAAAAGUUCUCAAUUUCGUAAACUAUAUCACAUAGGAAGAUGCUCGUAACAAUCAUGAGAAGAUGGAAUUGCAGAGGUUUUCAUGUUCUAAGAUUCUUCGAACUUUGUCAGAUUCCUGCAUAAAAGUUCUGUCUCCAGUGGCUUCUCAUUUAUUCAUUCAUUUAUGUUAUAAAUUAAUUACUGAUUGCAGUGUAUGUGUUAGCACUAUGCUAUAUACUAGAGAUUUGAUGCAGACAGAAUUCCCGCCUUUAAGGAACUUACAGAGUGGUCGAGGAGAUGUAUG
rnacentral:lncRNA from 1 species